UCAGGAUGAACGCUGGCGGCGUGCCUAAUACAUGCAAGUCGAACGAGGGUGCUUGCACCCUAGUGGCGAACGGGUGAGUAACACGUAGGUAACCUGCCCUUAAGCUUGGGAUACCCAGAGGAAACUUUGGCUAAUACCGGAUAACAACAGAAGAGGCAUCUCUUCAGUUUGAAAGGCCCUGCAAGGGGUCACUUAAGGAUGGACCUGCGGCGCAUUAGCUAGUUGGUGAGAUAAAAGCCCACCAAGGCGAGGAUGCGUAGCCGACCUGAGAGGGUGAUCGGCCACAUUGGAACUGAGACACGGUCCAAACUCCUACGGGAGGCAGCAGUAAGGAGUUUUCGGCAAUGGGGGAAACCCUGACCGAGCAACGCCGCGUGAGUGAAUGACGGCCCUAUGGGUUGUAAAGCUCUGUUGUAAGGGACGAAUGAUUCGCUUAGGAAAUGAAGCGGAUUUGACGGUACCUUACCAGAAAGCCACGGCUAACUACGUGCCAGCCGCAGC
rnacentral:rRNA from 1 species